GUGAAUCAUCGAAUUUUUGAACGCAAAUUGCACUCUCUGGUAUUCCGGAGAGUAUGCGUGUUUGAGGGUAAGAUUAAAUAAAAAUGGGGGUGGUUGCUGCUUUUCGUGGUGAGGAACCGGAUGUGGGUAGUCUUGCUUUCGGUUAAGCGACCUAAAAUUUUGCAUGAUUUUUUAUGACGUAUUUAAAUAAUUUUUCGUACGCUUGUGAUA
rnacentral:misc_RNA from 1 species